GACAGAGGGUGCAAACGUUGUUCGGAAUUACUGGGCAUAAAGGGCACGUAGGUGGUUCGCUAAGUUACGUGUGAAAUCCCCCGGCUCAACCGGGGAAUUGCGCGUGAUACUGGCGGACUCGAGGCGGGUAGGGGUGAGCGGAACUCCAGGUGGAGCGGUGAAAUGCGUAGAUAUCUGGAGGAACACCGGUGGCGAAGGCGGCAUCCUGGACCACGACUGACACUGAAACGCGAAAGCCAGGGGAGCAAACGGG
rnacentral:rRNA from 1 species